GGCGGCGUGCUUAACACAUGCAAGUCGAGCGGUAAGGCCUUUCGGGGUACACGAGCGGCGAACGGGUGAGUAACACGUGGGUGAUCUGCCCUGCACUCUGGGAUAAGCUUGGGAAACUGGGUCUAAUACCGGAUAUGACCACAGCAUGCAUGUGUUGUGGUGGAAAGAUUUAUCGGUGCAGGAUGGGCCCGCGGCCUAUCAGCUUGUUGGUGGGGUAAUGGCCUACCAAGGCGACGACGGGUAGCCGACCUGAGAGGGUGACCGGCCACACUGGGACUGAGACACGGCCCAGACUCCUACGGGAGGCAGCAGUGGGGAAUAUUGCACAAUGGGCGGAAGCCUGAUGCAGCGACGCCGCGUGAGGGAUGAAGGCCUUCGGGUUGUAAACCUCUUUCAGCAGGGACGAAGCGUGAGUGACGGUACCUGCAGAAGAAGCACCGGCUAACUACGUGCCAGCAGCCGCGGUAAUACGUAGGGUGCGAGCGUUGUCCGGAAUUACUGGGCGUAAAGAGUUCGUAGGCGGUUUGUCGCGUCGUUUGUGAAAACCCGGGGCUCAACUUCGGGCUUGCAGGCGAUACGGGCAGACUUGAGUGUUUCAGGGGAGACUGGAAUUCCUGGUGUAGCGGUGAAAUGCGCAGAUAUCAGGAGGAACACCGGUGGCGAAGGCGGGUCUCUGGGAAACAACUGACGCUGAGGAACGAAAGCGUGGGUAGCAAACAGGAUUAGAUACCCUGGUAGUCCACGCCGUAAACGGUGGGCGCUAGGUGUGGGUUCCUUCCACGGGAUCUGUGCCGUAGCUAACGCAUUAAGCGCCCCGCC
rnacentral:rRNA from 1 species